rnacentral:rRNA from 1 species
UACGUAUGGGGCUAGCGUUAUCCGGAAUUACUGGGCGCAAAGGGUGCGUAGGUGGUUUCUUAAGUCAGAGGUGAAAGGCUACGGCUCAACCGUAGUAAGCCUUUGAAACUGGGAAACUUGAGUGCAGGAGAGGAGAGUGGAAUUCCUAGUGUAGCGGUGAAAUGCGUAGAUAUUAGGAGGGACACCAGUUUCGAAGGCGGCUCUCUGGACUGUAACUGACACUGAGGCACGAAAGCGUGGGGAGCAAACAGGAUUAGAUACCCUGGUAGUCCCUGA